UCUACGGGAGGCAGCAGUGGGGAAUUUUGGACAAUGGGCGCAAGCCUGCUCCAGCUAUUCCGCGUGUGGGAUGACGGCCCUCGGGUUGUACACCACUUUAGUAGAGAACGAAAAGUAGCUCUCGAAUAAAUCGCUCUGCUGACGGUACUCUAAGAAUCAGCACCGGCUAACUACGUGCCAGCAGCCGCGGUAAUACGUAGGGUGCGAGCGUUAAUCGGAAUUACUGGGUGUAAAGGGAGCGUAGGCGGGGAUGCAAGUUGGGUGUUAAAUCUACCGGCUCAACUGGUAGUCGAACUCAAAACUGCAGCUCUUGAGUGAAGUAGAGGCAGGCGGAAUGCCUAGUGGAGCGGUGAAAUGCGUAGAUAUUAGGAGGAACACCAGUGGCGAAGGCGGCCUGCUGGGCUUUGACUGACGCUGAGGCUCGAAAGUGUGGGGAGCAAACAGGAUUAGAUACCCCAGUAGUC
rnacentral:rRNA from 1 species